AUUGAACGCUGGCGGCAGGCCUAACACAUGCAAGUCGAGAGGAGCGGCGGACGGGUGAGUAAUGCCUAGGAAUCGGCCUGGUAGUGGGGGAUAACGUCCGGAAACGGGCGCUAAUACCGCAUACUAUCAGAAGAGACGAGGUCGGAGUAGCUAGUUGGUGGGGUAAAGGCAUACCAAGGGGACGAUCCGUAGCUGGUCUGAGAGGAUGAUCAGUCACACUGGAACUGAGACACGGUCCAGCCUCCUACGGGAGGCAGCAUUGGGGAAUAUUGGACAAUGGGCGAAAGCCUGAUCCAGCCAUGCCGCGUGUGUGAAGAAGGUCUUCGGAUUGUAAAGCACUUUAAGUUGGGAGGCGUUACCAACAGAAUAAGCACCGGCUAACUUCGUGCCAGCAGCCGCGGUAAUUC
rnacentral:rRNA from 1 species